rnacentral:lncRNA from 1 species
UAUUUCUGUAGUCCGCAAGUCAAAUUUCUCAAUUUACUAGACCGUGCGAAUGCACGGGUUGAGGACUAGUAUUCAUAAAUUAGUAUAACAAUAACGAAGCAUAGCCAAAUUUUCAGAUCGGUAAGGAGCAUCAUCAUUAUCAUCAUACCUUUUAAACAGAGCCUCGUUUUCAUAAGCACCCGUAAAAGCAACAAACUCUUCUAUUUGAUCCACAUCAUAGUAAUCAUAUAUACCAUUAGCAUAAGAAGCCAAGGUUCUAUGAUCAUUAAACUCACAAGAAAAGGGAAGGUAUGGAGCCUUCAUCCUAGAUAACAAGUAACACCAUGUCUCUUGCAUAGUUCCCAAGCAUACCAUUUCAACAAAUGGAUUUGAUCCCAUAAAAGUUUCCCUUUUUGAGUCAAGCGAUAAUCCCUAAAGUAUUCACGUUGAUCCAACGUGUAUCCCAUUAUAUAAUUGAAUGGGCCUUUCUCAGGAUUAUUAAAGAAGUGCAUAAUAUUUUCCACAUAACGAGCAUCGAGGGUUUUAGGAGGUUCCCCAUCUCCAUGACUAGCAAGUACACCUAAUUUUUUUGGUAUUUCGUGUUCCAUAUCCAUAACUAAAGAUAGAG